GGGUGUUUGAUCGUGGGUUCACAGGAAGACGGGGCUGCAGAAGCCCUCUCAGCCAUUGACUGGAGCAAGUCACUCGCGACAGGAGGAUUCCGGUCACCCACGUGUGUGUCAGGGUUACUCCAUGCUCCCCGGGCUGUUAUUCCCGCCAGGAAUGGUCCAGAAGCUUGGGGUGCCCUGAGUUACCCCUCCCAAGUGCCAGCCUUGAGCUGGAACCCUAGGGGUGCAUGUAGCCCCUCAGCCCAUGGCUUGGAUCCUGUAGCCCCUCAGCCCAUGGCUUGGAUGGGCCACUAAGCUGCGUGUCUGUUGCAGACCUGGAAGUACUCCGCUCAUUCCAGAACCAGAUCGCCGCCAUCCAGCGGGAUGCCGUCUGGUGGCUCCACACUGUGGUUCCUUCCAUCAGCAAGCUCGCCCCAAGGACUACGUGCACUGCCUGCACAAGGUGCUGUUCACAGAGCAACCGGAGACCUACUACAAGUGGGACAACUGGCCACCAGAGAGUGACCGCAAGUGAGUGCACUGCCUCCUGGGCUCCUGUGCGCUGGGCUGGGCAGGGCGGGGGGAGGGGUGCCUGACUGGCUGCAGCAGGAAGGGCCAGUGGGAGUUGGGCCGCUGUUCUCAAGGUCACGUCACCAUCCUGUCCCUCCUCCACGACCCUGGGUGCCUUCUCUCACUCCCAUGCUGGCGUUCCUGCGCCACUGCAGGGAUUCAGC
rnacentral:lncRNA from 1 species